rnacentral:rRNA from 1 species
AUUUUGGACAAUGGGGGAAACCCUGAUCCAGCCAUGCCGCGUGAGUGAAGAAGGCCUUCGGGUUGUAAAGCUCUUUUGGCCGGGAAGAAAGGGUUCGGGCGAAUAACCUGGAUCUUUGACGGUACCGGCAGAAUAAGCACCGGCUAACUACGUGCCAGCAGCCGCGGUAAUACGUAGGGUGCGAGCGUUAAUCGGAAUUACUGGGCGUAAAGCGUGCGUAGGCGGUUCGUUAUGUCUGCUGUGAAAGCCCCGGGCUCAACCUGGGAAUGGCAGUGGAAACUGGCGGGCUUGAGUGUGGCAGAGGGGGGUGGAAUUCCGCGUGUAGCAGUGAAAUGCGUAGAGAUGCGGAGGAACACCGAUGGCGAAGGCAGCCCCCUGGGCUGACACUGACGCUGAGGCACGAAAGCGUGGGGAGCAAACAGG